rnacentral:rRNA from 1 species
UCCUACGGGAGGCAGCAGUGGGGAAUAUUGCGCAAUGGGCGAAAGCCUGACGCAGCAACGCCGCGUGAGGGAUGACGGCCUUCGGGUUGUAAACCUCUUUCAGCAGGGACGAAGCGAAAGUGACUGUACCUGCAGAAGAAGCGCCGGCUAACUACGUGCCAGCAGCCGCGGUAAUA